rnacentral:misc_RNA from 1 species
GAUGAAGAACGUAGCGAAAUGCGAUACUUGGUGUGAAUUGCAGAAUCCCGUGAACCAUCGAGUCUUUGAACGCAAGUUGCGCCCGAAGCCAUUAGGCCGAGGGCACGCCUGCCUGGGCGUCACACGUCGUUGCCCCCCCAUCUACUCCUUCGGGAUUGCGGGGGGCGGUUGAUGGCCUCCCGUGCGCCUCGCCGCGCGGUUGGCAUAAAUGCCAAGUCCUCGGCGACGCACGCCACGACAAUCGGUGGUUGCGAAACCUCGGUUGCCCGUCGUGUGCGGUCGUCGCGCAUCGAGGGCUCGAAAAAAUUGCCGGGUUCCGGCUCGGCUUUCAACGCGACCCCAGGUCAGGCGGGGUUACCCGCUGAAUUUAAGCAUAUCAAUAAGCGGAGGA